rnacentral:rRNA from 1 species
UACAGAGGGUGCGAACGUUGCUCGGAUUUACUGGGCGUAAAGCGCGUGUAGGCGGGCUAGCAAGUCGGUUGUGAAAUCCCUGGGCUCAACCUAGGAACUGCAUCCGAAACUGCUUGUCUUGAGUAGUAGAGAGGGUGGCGGAAUUCCCGGUGUAGAGGUGAAAUUCGUAGAUAUCGGGAGGAACAUCAGUGGCGAAGGCGGCCACCUGGAUACUUACUGACGCUGAGACGCGAAAGCGUGGGGAGCAAACAGG